rnacentral:rRNA from 1 species
AGCAGCCGCGGUAAUUCCAGCUCCAAUAGCGUAUAUUAAAGUUGUUGCAGUUAAAAAGCUCGUAGUUGAAUUUCGGGGUCAGUAGUUCGGUCGUGCCUCGGGUAUGUACUGGAUUCACUGAUUCCUCCUUCCUGAUGAACCGUAAUGCCAUUAAUUUGGUGUUGCGGGGAAUCUGGACUGUUACUUUGAAAAAAUUAGAGUGUUUAAAGCAGGCUAACGCUUGAAUACAUUAGCAUGGAAUAAUGAAAUAGGACGUUCGAUCCUAUUUUGUUGGUUUCUGGGAUUGACGUAAUGAUUAAUAGGGAUAGUUGGGGGCAUUAGUAUUCAAUUGUCAGAGGUGAAAUUCUUGGAUUUAUUGAAGACUAACUAGUGCGAAAGCAUUUGCCAAGGAUGUUUUCAUUAAUCAAGAACGAAAGUUAGGGGAUCGAAGACGAUCAGAUACCGUCGUAGUCUUAACCAUAAACUAUGCCGACUAGGGAUCGGAUGAUGUUAAUUUUUUAAUGACUCAUUCGGCGCCUUA